GUCUGAUGAUAUCUAAAUUUCAGGUAAGUUCAUGUAUUGACAAGUUCACAUUACUGAUGCU
rnacentral:snoRNA from 1 species